rnacentral:rRNA from 1 species
UCCUGCCGGAGGCGACCGCUGUGGGAGUCCGAUUAAGCCAUGCGAGUCGAGAGAAUAAGAUUCUCGGCAUACCGCUCAGUAACACGUGGAUAACCUGCCCUGUGCUGGGGGAUAACCUCGCGAAAGUGAGAACAAUACCCCAUGGGUCACUAUGCCUGGAACGGUUAGUGGCUGAAAGCUCCGGCGGCACAGGAUGGGUCUGCGGCGUAUCAGGUCGUAGGGGGUGUAACGUACCUCCUAGCCUUCGACGCGUACGGGUUGUGAGAGCAAUUGCCCGGAGAUGGAUUCUGAGACACGAAUCCAGGCCCUACGGGGCGCAGCAGGCGCGAAAACUUGACAAUGCGAGAAAUCGUGAUCAGGGGACUCCAGUUGGCUGGAUCAAAAGUCCAGUCUGAACCGACUUUAAAUCGGUCGGGUAAUAGGGGCGGGAAAGACCGGUGCCAGCCGCCGCGGUAAUACCGGCGCCCCAAGUGGUCGUCACUAUUAUUGGGCCUAAAACGUCCGUAGCCGGUUUGGUAAAUCCGUGGGUAAAUCAGACAGCCUAACUGUCUGAAUUCUGCGGGGACUGCCAGACUUGAGACCGGGAGAGGUGCGGGGUACUUGCGGGGCACCGGUAAAAUGGGAUCAUCCCGUAGAGACCACCUGUUGCGAAGGCGCCGCACUAGAACGGAUCUGACGGUCAGGGACGAAGCCUAGGGGCACGAACCGGAUUAGAUACCCGGGUAGUCCUAGGUGUAAACGCUGUGGACUUGGUGUCGGGGACCUUCUGAGGGUUUCCGGUGCCGGAGUGAAGAUGUUAAGUCCACUGCCUGGGGAGUACGGUCG